UAUGCACUCUACUGUAAGUCGCUCUGGAUAAGAGCUGCUGCUAAAUGACAAAAA
rfam:Salmo salar isolate Sally breed double haploid chromosome ssa01, whole genome shotgun sequence.